rnacentral:lncRNA from 1 species
UUGGGAAACUAUAGCCUCUAUGCUACAUAUGGCCCACUCUUUUUAUAAAUAAAGUUUUAUUGGCACAGAGACCAGUUGUGUUUACUAUUGUCUAUGGCUACUUCCUUAUUACAAUGGCAGAGUUGAUAGUUGCCAGAGAGACAGUAUAGCCAAUAAAGCUGAGAAUAUUAAUUAUCUGGCCUUUUAUAGCAGAAAAUUGCCAACCAUACUCAAAGACUUUUUGGCAAAGGCAGUCAUUAAAAUACCUGCUUUAAAAGAGGAUUGGUCAAUUUUAUAUCACCUUUUGAGAAGAAUUGGAAGGCGAAUUUUCAUAAAAAGGUAUAGCAAAGAACAUAUCAGAUGGAUUAAAACUUUGGUGCAGUCUUGAGUUUUGACUCCUCCAGGUUUAUUUUUUCCUUGUGGGCAUGUUGUUGUUUUGUUUUGUUUUUGUUCUUGGCAGGGCUGUCUCUAAGGAUCUGUCUGGACUUCAAGCUGCUCAAUAUGAUUCCUCUCAAUAUGUUUUGGAAUGAUCUACCCAGCACUCUGAAAAGGGUUGUUAGUGUUUUACCUUAAUUACCAGAGUCAUCUGCCAAAGAAGAAAUUGAAUAUUUGCUGAUUAUAGUUUUUAUGCAUAUAGAAGUUUCCAGAGUGAUAAAAAUUUUCCCCCUUUUUCUUCUUACAAAGCUGAAGUGAGUAACAGAAUGAGAUUGGAAUUUUGUAAGUGAUUUAGAAAGCUGGUCUCAGGAUGAACUGUACAUCUUUUUAAAUGGAAGCGGGCCUCCAGAGGUGGACGGCUCCCUCUGAAAGCCAUAUGGGGUUCUGGAAAUAGGCAGCAACCAUAUCAUGUUUAUUUUUUUCCACUUUGUAGAAAUGUGUUCAUCAUCUAAAAAGCCUCUGGCUGAAUGUAUCCAAACAUUUAGUGCAAUAAAGAAAGAACUGAUAACUAAAUACAGGAAAGAGAAUAAUGGGCCGAAGGCCCAUAUAGGGCUGUUGGAAUUUAAAUUUGAGCUCUGGCAUGAAUGCCCCUUUUCUAGGCCUGGCAGGAGGAUUAUCUCUCUUUUCUUGAUGGGUAAUUUAGCUGUCAGUAUUUCCUCUCACACUUCACUGUUCCUUUUCUAUUCAACUUUUUAAUUUCUUGCUAUGAGUAAAUCAUCUGUUUUUUUUUUUUUUUAACACAAUUCAUCUUCGUAGGGUUUAACUGUUUUGCUUUGCUUAUAUCUCACGGAUACUCAGUUGCUUUGAUUGCUGUUUUUCCCAAGCUCAACGAACCUGCUUAAGACAAAUGCGUAAACUCAAAUGAGAUAGCAGAACCGAAGGCAGGGUCCCCCCAACCUCCCGCCUCCCCCAUAUCCUAUAACCCAAUAAAGAACACUUCACAAAUCUGCAGAGAUAAAGAGGCAGUAGAAAAAGCAUAUUGCUGAUGAAAUACAUUCAAGAUGCAAAUAGCAAAUGACCAGAACACAGCGUGAUCAGUCUAGGACCCUAUCUUCAAAGCUUUGUUGAAGAAAGAAACUUAAAGCAACCCGCCAACCUGUGGCUGAGUGAUGCCGCUGCAUGAGCUGACAGCAGAAGUAAUUUAAAAGAGGAAGUUUGAGCCAAUGUUCAAAUAUGAGGGGAAGAACAGCCGCUACAUUGGCAGUCGGGGAAUGAGGGAAGAGUCGGGGAAGCAGCCAGAGAACCAAAUUCUGCAAACACUAGCGAUUUAUGAAAUACCCACAGAGUGUGACUGCAUAACAAAUAAAAACAGAUGAGCGAAUUGCUGAACAUCCUGUCCGGGUAUUGGGUGGCGGAAGGGGGCAGGAACCACACUUUCCUGAGCCUUAUAGACCCAGGCGAGGAGAGUCUGAAAUUUCUGCAAAUUGAAGAGCUCUGGGGAAAUGGCAACCACGGCUGGGAAGAAAUUCAGAAAGAGAUAUUUGGAAUUGUAGAGUCACCUGAGUAUAUGGAGGCUUGGAUGCAUGCCCUCUUCAGACCACAUCUAAUUUAUUAUUGCUGGGAACAGCCCUGAGAUCUGCCUCUUUGGAAGCCCUGGGAUGUGACUAGGCUCAGGCACUGUGGGGACAAAUAGUUCCAGAUCUCAAGUGUCACAGCUUCCCCCAAUACCCCAGGUUGUUCUUUCAUUCCUGCAUUCCCUGUUCUUCUAGCACUGUGCCCAGCAUAUGUUUGAUGUUGGAAAAUGUAUGUUGGGUGAAUGACCAAAUGCUUUAGGAGGAAAUGACAGGCAGUUAGCACCAGAUAGAGGCAGGUACAAAGUCUGGUUAGCAGCUGACUGACCUUAGCAAGUUAAUUAUGUUCUGACUUUCAGUAUUCCCACCUUUAUAAUGGUACCAAUGUUAUAGUGUUGUGAAGAUUAAAUGCCCAUUUGGUGUUUGGGGCAUAAAAGGCAUUCAAUAAAUGGUAGACAUACUUCGAUUGUAAAGCAUCACACCUCCCAGGGUGUUUGCAAUUGAACAGAACACUUUAAAGGGAGACACUCCUAUUGUUGCAUUUGAAGGAAAUGAGAUAAGAGGAAAGGGUUGUGAGUUGAAAGAGGGAUGGAUGUGGAUCUUGAAUUGGGUCUGAGUAGGUAGUUUGGGACCAAGGAAUUGAACCCUAAGGUGAAGCUGGACACUUGCUGUGAAGCAGUGGGAUAGGUAUGCACUUAAACAAGCCAUAGAAUAAAGGAGAAAGGCUCUGGACUAGUCCCUGAAGCUCACUGAGCCUUGGUUUCUUCACCUAAAAGUGAGGGAGUUAGUCUGUCAUCUACUGGUUCUAGGAUAAAAUUAAAGUGGGGUAGAUUUUAGAGGGUAUGUUAAUAAGUCCAGAAGAUCAAUGACAGGACUUGUAUUGACAUUCUGUCUUCCCACCCCUUAGCACUGGAGGCAAAGGAUAUUUUAUUUCUCAUGCAGUGUUGAUGUAAUUAGCCUAAAAGUAUUUGAGAGAAGAUGAGGAAUGAGCUAGGAAUCCUCUUCUUUUACCUAACUUGCUGCUUUCCAAGACAUGCAUUACUAUUAGAUUGAUGGAAAAAAUAUUGCCUCUGCCCUCAUGGGUCCUCAGGCUCAGCAAUUCCCUGGAAUUCAAUCUUGAGAAAGACAGUGCCCUAUGCUUUGUGUAAAAUCACAUACAGGGAGUAAUAUAAUCAUUAAAAAAUAAUCAUCUUGAAUUUUUGAUGGUUUCUCUGCUUGUUUGCAAUUUUAUUAUUCAUUGGUGUUAGCUUUGCAAUUACAAAACGUGUUGUUGGUAUUUUGGAGCAAAUUCUGACAUCAAAUUUGGUUUGCCAAUAGGUGGGAUGAACAUGUCAAGAAAAAUAGAGGACGAUGACAAGGGCUAAAAUCCCAUUUGGUUUCUACAGCUAAUAAUCUUGUUCAGAGCACAAGAUAUUUGAACACCAUAAUACAAUUUCCACAUUAAAAGCACGUUCCAGUCAAUUCAAAAAUUAAGUAAAUAGAGCAGAGGCAUACAGUUCCACUAAUCCACCAAUGUCCUAAAUUUAAUGAUUUUAGCAGCUCAAGGAAAACAGGGAUUGUUGUAAAACAUCACAUCCGAAUGUGUUAUUGCUUCUAACAAUGAUUAUUUGUCAUUUAUCUGACACUGAAGGUGUGAACUGCACAUUAUAGGAGUCAAAGGUUUUGCAUAAAACAAAACAAAGCCUCUUUCUCCAAGGCUUACACUCUGAAAGCGUGCAAGUGACUCAAGAGAAUGUGUCAAAAACCUAUGAGAGGCAAAGGGAUAAUUUAUUUGGAGUUGGCCUUGAAAAGGAGGCAUAUCCCAUAAAGGGUAAUAAGGAAUGUGUAUCUAUGAACUAUUGAAGCAUCUCUUAAGGUAAAGUAAAUUGUAGAAAAGUCUGGAAUCUGCUUUGGCCACCAAUCAUAUAUGAUGUAAAACAGUCUCUGACAUGCAUACAUUCCUGCACAAUUCCUUUCAGCAGCUUACAAAGCUUUGGAGGAUAAAUGGAAAGAUGCAUUUUACUCUGAUUUAUCUAUGGAAGAAUUAGGCUUUCAAGCAUAUUUCUUAGUAAGUUAGUGAAGGAUUUGCUGUAAAUCUUAUUAUAUUCAGUACUGUAUGCUUACAGCCUAUUACUUAUUUAAUACAUAAUGAAACUCGUUCAGGAAAUCAAACAGAAAUAAAACUGCUCAGGAAGAGUUCAUGCUGUGUACACUGUCCCUCUUUCAGGCAUCAGAAUUUUCAGAGCAAUUGCCAAUUGGGUUUGAGCACCAUUAGCAACAGUGGAGAAAGCAGUAUUCCUGAUUUCUGGUCCUCUUAUCUUAUUCAGGGUGAUUCUUUUCACAGGGGACUCUAAAUGCUUACCAGUGAUUAUUUGAGAAUGGCUGAAUCUACACUAAGGGAAGAAUGAUAUAGUCCACAGAACAGUAAGCUGCAAAUAAAUUACACUGAUAAACAUAGCACCAUAGUCUAUUGGUACUUCUUACUAAUUCCGCUACACUAAGGUAUUAAUAAAAUACCUAAGGGAAGUGUCCUGGUCCUGUUUGGAUAUUUUCCUUUGUUGGUGUUUCGGGUCUGGGUACUGACAUCAAUUUGGGUGCCCUGCUCUGGUUGGUGAUGUGAUAUGAAGCUUCUUGCCAGCCUUUCAGUCUACAUUUUUAAUAACUAGAUGUAAAGCAUGAGGUCUUUAUCAGCUGCCUUUCUCUCCAACACUGGUCACAUUCCUAUUCAUAUUAGCUACUGUAUUAAUAACAUAUGUGAUAUUGGAAGUUUAGCAAAUAUGCCUGCCUUCUGUGUUUGUCUGAGGAUGAGGUAGAAGUCUUCACACUAAGAAUCAAGGAUGAGGUAGAAGUCUUCACACUAGGAAUUAUCUCAUACUGGCUUGUCCAUUGUGCUGCAAUCAUUGGCCUUAAGCAUAUUUGCUUUUUAGUUGUUCCAGAAAAAAAGCAUGGUAGCAGAAAUUGCAUCAAUCAGAAGGAUUAUUAUUUACUGCAGUAGAACUUAAGCUUCUCUAGUUCCCUCCUCUUUAAAGUGUGAUGGUGAACAUGUCAUGAACUUUUGUAGGUUUAAGCAACGAAUGUAAAGUAUCUUCUUUAGAACUUAGAGUUUAGUAGAAAUUUAACAAUUGGUCUCAAUUGUCCAUUUAUGUUUGGCCAGCAUAUAGACACUGAAAAGUAAAGGAAGGUUCUGAGAAGUGAUCUUUGGGUUUUUUUCCCCAAGGUGCAAAAUAAAUCCAUAUUUGUGAGAUAGAUUCCAGCUUCUUUUAAAACGGAGUUCCCAUCGUGGCUCAAUGGGUUAAGAACUUGAUAUGGUGUCCUUGAGGAUGCAGGUUUGAUCCCUGGCCUCGCUCAGUGGGUUAAGGAUCUGAUACUGUCUCAAGCUGCAGCAUAGGUUGCAGAUGCUGCUGGAUCCUUCAUUGCUGUGGCUGUGGCAUAAGCCUGUAGCUGCAGCUCUGAUUUGACCCAAAGCUCGGGAACUUCCUUAUGCCACAGGAGUGGUGGUAAAAACAGAAAAAAAAUGGAGGUGUAUAGCUUGAGAUAAAAUGAUAAAGAAAUAAUUAUGUUGUAUGUCAAUUGUAUCUCAAUAAAACUGGGGAGAAAAAGAAAUAAUUACAAAUGUGAAAAAAAAUGGAAGCUUAUAUCACUAAAAAGUAAGAUUGCAGUAUGUACUUGUGGCUAGAUUGUGUGUUUUUGUAGUGGUCUCACUCGUUCCACAGACCAUUCUGGGAAUCAUUUGCAUAGGACAAGAAUAUUGGAAGCCUCUUUUUCCCCUACUGGCUCCCAAGGAAAGAUUUCUGGUUCACUUUGAAAUGUACCUCUGCAAACAUCACAUCUCAGACUUUUAGUUAUUAUGAACUAUGAUUUUUAAACAGCUGGUCUUUGAACUUGCAGGUACUGCCCUCAUUUUUCUUCUUUUUUCUUUUCCUUCUUGAGCCCCUUUCAUGGUUGAAUUAAUAAAGAGAAAACCAACAAAAACAAAAAUAUUCCAAAGAGAGGAAGAGGUAAAGUAAUAAAUAGUGUCCAUUCAGUUACAUUAAAUAUUUUUAUUAAUCUAAAACUUCACAAGCUCCUGAUAGCAAAAAGAAUUUUUGCAAUACUCUGGUUUUUCUUUUUUAACACAAAAUUUAAGAAUAUUUGACUUGGAGAUAAAGGCAUAGUUUGAAACUCAAGUGUCAUUGGUUUAAGCUUCCACAGCUACCUCAGCAAAAUGAAGAAGAUGCAUGGGCUGCUUUGCUUCAAAAAGCACAAUAGUUGAGAAUACUUCCAUGUUUAUGUGAAUAAAUUCUGCAAAAAUUUACACCUUUUAAAUUCUGCACCCAUAAUACCUGAGAGAUAGACUUUAGACUUUGUGUCUAAAAUCAAAGCAGCAGCUGGAACACCAAGAAAAAACACUGGCAUUUAUUUUUCAGUGAUCCUGACACACAGUAUUAUGAGUAGACAUGAAAAUAUCGACCCAACCAUAGACAAGCACAGUCAGCGGCUGAGAAAUAACCUGGCAGAAGAAGUUUCAUUAGUGACUUGGGUGAACAAAGUCGAAUUCUCAGUUGCAUUUGGGGAUAAUGAAAACUGACACGUGCACCUUCAGGUCCCCCCUCCAAAAAAAAGCAGAAAUGAACAUCUGUAUAUUUCUCACCCACACCCCACUCCCAACUUCCCCAGGGAACCCAGGACAGCAGUGGGUGAGCUGCUGGCACCCAGUUAAGACCAAGAAUUUUAGAGCCAGAGGAUCUGUAUGGGCUUGAAUAUUGGCUUUGCCACCUGCUAACUCUGGCAAAGUUAUUUAAUAUGUUUUUGUGCCUCACUUUCCUCAAUUCUAAAAUGGGCUUAAGGAGUUCCUCUUGUGGCCCAGCAGAAAUGAAGCUUACUAAUAACCAUGAGGACACAGGUUCAAUCCCUGGUUCUACUCAGUGGGUUAAAGAUCCAGCAUUGCAGUGAGCUGUGGUAUAUGCAGGUCACAGAUGUUUCUCAGAUCUGGCGUUGCUGUGGAUGUGGUGUAGGCCAAUUGCUACAGCUCAGACUCGGCCUCUAGCCUGAGAACCUCUAUAUGCC